rnacentral:rRNA from 1 species
UAUUUUGGAAGAGAUGCAUUUAUUAGAUAAAAAACCAAUACAUACUUUUUCAAGUAUGAAAUUUGGUGAUUUACAAUAACUUAGCAAAUCGCAUAGUGAAAACAGGCGAUAAAUCAUUCAAGUUUCUGACCUAUCAGCUUUCGACGGUAUGGUAUUGGCUUACCGUGGCAGUGACGGUUAACGGGGGAUUAGGGUUCGAUUCCGGAGAGGGAGCCUGAGAAACGGCUACCACAUCUAAGGAAGGCAGCAGGCGCGCAAAUUACCCAAUUCUAACAGCAUAAGAGAGGUAGUGACAAGAAAUAACAAUACAAGGCAGUUAAAAUGCUUUGUAAUUGGAAUGAUAGAAAUUUAAACACUUUUUAAAGUAUCAAUUGGAGGGCAAGUCUGGUGCCAGCAGCCGCGGUAAUUCCAGCUCCAAUAGCGUAUAUUAAAAUUGUUGCAGUUAAAAAGCUCGUAGUUGAAUUUCUGUUAAAAAUAACCGGUCUGCUUUUAAUAAAAGUGGUAUCUUGGUGUGUUUUUAGCAAUAAUGUCCUUUGAAAUGUUUUUUACUUUAUUGUAAUAAAUAAUAUCCAGGAUUUUUACUUUGAGAAAAUUAGAGUGUUUCUAGCAGGCUAACGCUUUGAAUACUGCAGCAUGGAAUAAUAAAAUAGGAUUUUAGUUCUACAUUAUUGGUUUUAAGAACUAAAUUAAUGAUUGAUAGGGACAGUUGGGGGCAUUUGUAUUUAACUGUCAGAGGUGAAAUUCUUAGAUUUGUUAAAGACAAACUACUGCGAAAGCAUUUGCCAAAGAUGUUUUCAUUAAUCAAGAAC